rnacentral:tRNA from 1 species
GGAUUAUGGCUCAGCGGUAGAGCGCUCACCUCGCAUGUGUAAGGCCCUGGGUUCGAUUCUCAACACCA